rnacentral:rRNA from 1 species
GAUGAACGCUGGCGGCGUGCCUAAUACAUGCAAGUCGAGCGAACAGACGAGGAGCUUGCUCCUCUGACGUUAGCGGCGGACGGGUGAGUAACACGUGGAUAACCUACCUAUAAGACUGGGAUAACUUCGGGAAACCGGAGCUAAUACCGGAUAAUAUAUUGAACCGCAUGGUUCAAUAGUGAAAGACGGUUUUGCUGUCACUUAUAGAUGGAUCCGCGCCGCAUUAGCUAGUUGGUAAGGUAACGGCUUACCAAGGCAACGAUGCGUAGCCGACCUGAGAGGGGGGGCGGCAGCACUGAGACAGAUGCACGCACCGGACGGCGACGGAAGGCAGGAGUGGGGAAGAGAGAGCAAGGGGCGGAGGCUGGACGGAGCAAUGAAGAGUGAGGAAUGAAGGUUUACUGAUCGGAAAACUCUGUGAGUAGGGAAGAACAAAGGGGUAAGUAACUAGGCGCGUCUUAGCGGGACGUAAUGAGAAGAGCGCCGCCAACGACGUG